CCUACGGGAGGCAGCAGUAGGGAAUAUUGCUCAAUGGGGGAAACCCUGAACCAGCAACGCCGCGUGGAGGAUGAAGGUUUUAGGAUUGUAAACUCCUUUUGAGAGAGAAGAUAAUGACGGUGUCCCACUUAUAAGAACCGGCUAACUCCGUGCCAGCAGCCGCGGUAAUACGGAGGGUGCAAGCGUUACUCGGAAUCACUGGGCGUAAAGAGUGCGCAGGCGGGCUUGUAAGUCAGAUGUGAAAUCCUGUGGCUUAACUACAGAACUGCAUUUGAAACUGUGAGUCUAGAGUGUGGGAGAGGUAAGUGGAAUUCUUGGUGUAGGGGUAAAAUCCGUAGAUAUCAAGAGGAAUACUCAUUGCGAAGGCGACCUACUGGAACAUUACUGACGCUCAUGCACGAAAGCGUGGGGAGCAAACAGGAUUAGAUACCCCAGUAGUC
rnacentral:rRNA from 1 species